GGCCGGUUAGCACAAUUGGUAGUGUGUCUGACUACGAAGCGUUGGCUUAGUGAAUCAGGAGGUUGCGGGUUCGAGCCCCGUGCUGGUCA
rnacentral:tRNA from 1 species